CACCGCGGUUAGACGAAAGGCUCAAGCUGAUAGUUUUCGGCGUAAAGAGUGGUUAGGGAUUUAGAAUACUAAAGCUGAAAUUUCUCAUGGCUGUUAUACGCUUCCGAGAAUAUGAAACACAUAUACGAAAGUAGCUUUAAAUAACCUGACCCCACGAAAGCUGUGGAA
rnacentral:rRNA from 1 species